AUGUGUAGCGCAGGCUGAGAAUAACAUGUCUGGAGGGUUUAGAGAGAGACUUUCAGGAAAGGGGGGGCUGCACUGUAGUAAAACCCACGUCAAGAAAAGGGUCGCUGUGUCUUUAGCAUAAUAAGGCCGGAUUUAUUAUUUCUCAAGUGUUAAGAAACAAAAUUCAACCGAGUAGAUUUGAAGCUCUAAUUGGCUUUAUUAAGUGAUUCAUGACUCGGGCAGCGGUCCUUGCAGCAAGCAGAGUGAGCUCUGAGGAGUCCUGCAAGAUGGAAAAUUUUUAUAGGAAGAAGGGAGGGACAGGAAGUUAUUAGCAAAAGAAAAGAAAGGAUUGUUUCAGGCAAGGUCACCUUCCCUUAGAGGGAAGGGCAGGGGACUCAUUAGGUGGGUUACCUCAUUUUACUAUGGAAGAAGGAGAGCCCAUGUGACAGAUUACCUCAUUGGGGCUGAUAAGAAAAAUCCCAGAUCGAUUGGUUUUAAAAUUCUGGAGACUGGAUGAACCUGCAAGUAGAUAACAUCAGGACAACCCCAGGGCCACAAGAUAAGACAGAAGCAAUUUGGGUUUCCUGAGUUACAGCCUGGAGCAGAGCCAUCCAGGAGAGCUGCUCAGCCAGGAAACCUGCAUUGGACUUCGUGUGAGCCAGAAAUUCAGUGGAACAUCCACCAGAUGAAUAGCUCCACACUUGACAAGGAGGACAACAGUGGAGAACAAGACAGUCAGGGGCUAUCACUGAGAGGAUGUGUGCAGUGCUAGAACUCAGCCCAGCACCCGGCAGCGCAAGGAAACUGUAAGAUCUCAGGACCCUGCCUGUGCCCAUUACAGGAACCCAAGCCUUAGGUGGGACAGCUCUCUGGAAGUGGGAAGAGGCCAGGUGUGGACCAAACACAAUCCAGGAAGUCAGCGAUGGCAGAGGUGACAUUGAUCUCAUGCUUUUUGUCAGCGUCUUCGGGGAAGUGAUCGAUUUUCUUGCACACUCCUCGGAAAGUCCCUGUGGAAACAAAUGACGGCCUGAGCUGAGGGGAGGAGCCAGAGCCCCUGAGGAAUUCAGUAGAAGAUUCUGGGCCUCAGCACUUACAUCCUCAUUGGGGAGAAAGUCUACAGACUGUAAAGGGAUGAACGAGAUCCCUGUGCUUUGAAGGAAAUCAAGUGGGAUGAUGUGAUGGUGAUCGUGCAUGGGGUAGGGGUAGAUGGUGAGCCAUUUGGGGCAGGGUGGUGGCGGAGGGGGGGAUAUUUGGGCUCCGACCUGCAUAAAGAGAAGGAGCUGGUCGUGAGGAGAGCCAGGGAAACGGCUUUCCAGGCAGAGGUUGCUACAAGUGACAGGCUCAGAGGUGGGAAGGAGCUUGGUUAGUUUGAAGAACAGAAGGGAGGCCAGCGGGGUGAAAGAGGGACUAUUGCGGCAGGUUAACCGGGUCACACCGUAGAGAGAACAAGCCUAGACCACCUGCUAUGCCAAGUUUGGGCAAGGGCCAGAUAGAGCUUUUCUGGGGCAUCUAAAGACAGCUCUGCUUAAGCGUUUUUGGCCUUAAGUCCGGAAAUACUGGAUCUGGAGCAGACGGACUGGGGUGGGGUGGGGUGGGGUGGGGUGCAGACAGUGGAGGCAUGACUUCACUUCCCUGCCCUUCUCAAGAUCGCAGUCCUGAAGGGAGACCCUUCGGAGGGGCUGCUGUCCCCUGGAUGUCCUUCCUCCAACAACAGCAGAACCUCUAGACGGUCUUCUCGGAGGGGCGCUCCACGUCUGCCUCCUCUGGACGUUGAUGGCCCACACCGAUGGUCCUGGGGCAGAAUUUGGUGGCUGGGGCACCUACCAACCUAAAAAAGGGACAUCACUUCUGAGUAGUCUCUGGGCAGUUAUCAUGGGCUCGGAGUGAGGGGGGACGCUCCUGACCAGCCCACCCAGCCCGGCGGCAGUGCCCAGCACCGGGUGCAGCCCGGAAACCCUGCCAACCCAGUGCCCGGACCUUGGCACCCAUCUCAGCCACCAGCCCAGCUGGGGCAACCAAAUUCCAAGCUCCCAAAGUCCAGCUCGGAGUUCAAAACCAAGGCCAGCUGGAGACCAGAGCCCUGGGUGCAGAGACAGAGGUCUUUUGUUAGGUCCCCGUCAUGAUGACUUGGCCUCAAGGAAUCAGGAAAGAAUGAACCUCGGGUUUGUUUAUGUACCAGGAACACUUAAAGCAAAAGUGACAGCCUGACUGUAAGCAGGUUUGGGUUCUUGGCAUAACAGCAGAUCUCUGUUACAGAGGAGGAUAAUACCUUCAAACAGUGGUUUUCAACAUGGGCUGCACAUUGGAAUCACUGGAGUAGAGGCUGGAAAACACAGAGAUUCCUGCUUAAUCCAUCUGGGCAUCUGGAGUUUUGCAAGCUCCCCAGAUGAGUCUAACUAUUCAGUGGAGGUUGAGAACCACUGCCUGCGAGAUGAGUCCCCUCGAAAGUAGGGACCUUUAUUUCAUAGUAAAUAAUGAGGUUCAAAGACGUGCCUUCCACCUGUAUCUCGAAAAUGAAAUGAUCGUUUAUGAGAACAUGUUUAUUUUGUCUUAUCUUUUCUAACUAUGCACUGGGACAAACAAUAAAGUAAGCUGUGUUGAUUUUCGCUGGGAAGGGAACAUAAUUUUUUCUGAUAAAAUCACAUGAGAGUCCAAUAUGAAAUCCUUCACUUUCCCAGGGGGAUUGCAAAGUUUGACUUUCACAGCAGGAUCAUAAAGUAGGUCCCUUUUUGCAAAAAAAUACUUGAGCACGUCAUCAUUCUCUCAAGAGCUUCUCUUAAUCCUUUGAUAUUCAAAUCACAUUGUUGUUGGUUUUUUUUCUUCUUGCAUUGCUCCCGGGCGUCCCUCUGCCUGGCUCGCGGGGGGGCCCCACGGCUGGCAUGGCACGUCACUCCUCACAUCCGUUACCACAAAGCUGUGUAUUUUGCUAGAUAUGCAAUCUCA